rnacentral:rRNA from 1 species
UGGGGAAUCUUGCACAAUGGGGGCAACCCUGAUGCAGCGACGCCGCGUGAGCGAUGAAGCCCUUCGGGGUGUAAAGCUCUUUCGGCAGGGACGAUAAUGACGGUACCUGCAGAAGCAGCUGCGGCUAACUACGUGCCAGCAGCCGCGGUAAUACGUAGGCAGCGAGCGUUGUUCGGAGUUACUGGGCGUAAAGGGUGCGUAGGCGGCCGAUUAAGUUUGUCGUGAAAUCUCCCGGCUUAACUGGGAGGGUGCGGCGAAUACUGACCGGCUCGAGUGUGGGAGAGGAGAGUGGAAUUCCUGGUGUAGCGGUGAAAUGCGUAGAUAUCAGGAGGAACACCGGCGGUGUAGACGGCUCUCUGGACCAUAACUGACGCUGAGGCACGAAAGCGUGGGUAGCAAACAGGAUUAGAUACCCUGGUAGUCCACGCCCUAAACGAUGCACAUUUGGUGUGGGCAGUUCAUUCUGUCCGUGCCGGAGC